GAUGAACGCUGACAGAAUGCUUAACACAUGCAAGUCUUUGGCGAAGCUGUGCUUGCACAGCCUAGCCAAGGCGGACGAGUGAUUAACGCGUAAGGAAUUAGCCCUCCAGUCAGGGAUAACAGACGGAAACGACUGAGAAGACCUGGGGAAGGCAGGCGGACUCAUGUCCAGCCUGAUGAAAAGGGAUGCUGCUGGAGAGCCUUGCGUCCUAUUAGCUUGUUGGUGGGGUAAGGGCCCACCAAGGCGAUGAUAGGUCGCCGGCCUGAGAGGGUGGACGGCCACAGGGGGACUGAGAUACGGCCCUUACUCCCGCGGGGGGCAGCUGUGGAAUAUUUUGGACUAUGGGGACAACUCUGAUCCAGACAUUCCGUGUGGAAGAUGAAGGUUUUCGGAGUAUAAAGUGCUUUCAGCAGAGAAAAAAAAAAUGACGGUACCUGCAGAAGAAGCGACGGCUAACUACGUG
rnacentral:rRNA from 1 species